AUUAGUUCUUUUUAUUUUGCCCCAAAAUCAUAUCUGAACUCCACCUUCACAUUCCCACCCCCUCAAGAAAAACCCAAAAAAACCCUUGGAUUUGGAUUUUUACAAUUUUCAGCUGCCAAGUGGUGCCUUUGCUAUGACUACCAGGGGCUUCGACAAAAUGCUUUUACUGACAGAAGCGUCUCUCCUGUUGUGACAAAGAAAGAUGGUAAAGGCUAAUGAGUUGUGUCUUGUUGAGCAUGGCCUGCAGUUAGGAGCUUGAUUUACUAAGAAGAGAUCUGGGGAGGAAUUUUGGGAUACUGUAUUUUUUGGAAAAAUGACAAAGAAUUAAUGGGGGAAGACAAAUGCAAAGCUGUAGCUUGAUGGCUCUCGCCUCCUUUCAAACACUAUCAAAACCUUUGACUCAGUGAAGGUAGCUUCCAGACCUUACUUUGUUGAUAACAUUUUUUCCGAUUUUAGUGCUUAUUCCCUCUCUGUGACUUUCGCCCCACAUUCAAGACUGUCAGGGAGAAGCUGUAGAUAAGAAUAUCUGUAAACAGUGUUUCAGUGUCUCCCACACAGCAGUCUGGAACUGCCUCUCCUCAUGUUACUGAAGGUUCAUGGAUUUCCCAAAUCAGUAGGAGUUCAUUGAUUUAUAUGCAGGCAAGCUUGUGUUACUACUUUGGUUACCUUUGUGGUUUUUCCUGGCUACUGUUAAUUAGCCUGGCAGCAUCUUCCAAUGUUGCUUACAUGCAGUAGUAGGUGAAUAUAACUACUUGUAUUGAGCUAUCAUAACAUUCUCCUUUUUUUUUUCCUUCUUCCUAAAAAGGAUAAAAGGCCCUUUGAAAACUAUCUAAGCAAUGAAGGAGAUCCAGACUGUGACCUGGUUUUCAAAUGAUGUCUCUAGUGCGGUUAAUGGUGCUGUCUCCCACACUUGGACUAUCCUAUAGCCUCUUGUCACCUCAUGCAGUUCUUCUGAGAUGUUCAGGUUAAAAACAAUCACUCCCCUGCUAUCGCUUUCCUGUUACCGUCUGAAAGGCUUGCCUUCUCUCUGAAUUACAAUCUCAGCCUCUGUCUCUGACAUCUCUUCAGGAUCCCAGCUCAGGUUAAAGUGGGACUCUUUCUCUCUCAAGCCCUCACUCUGUCCCAUGUAUGCAUUUUUUGUCUCGGUUGUUGUAGGCAGUCUCACUACAGCUGACCUGGAGGUAUGGUGACUCUUGGGCCCAUGUCUUGUUUUCCCAGGCUACAGGCAGCAUGGAGAGCCCUGGCUCCCCCGGAGACCUCCAUGCAGGCUGCAAGCCUGGCUGCAGAACAUGUCCUCUCCUCUGAGCAGAAGCUGGGAUGCUGGUUUCUCUCGGGAGGUGGCAGCACAGCCAGAUGUGAUCAGCAUCUGCAGCUCCGCGCCCAGAACUGCAGAGGGUUUGCAACUACUGAAAGGAAACUAGGCUCAUAUACCAGGUAAUUCCUGCUUGACACUGCUUAGGGCACCACUGAAAUCACACCUGAAGCAGGCAGCACUGAGAGGGUGAAGCACAGAAAGGCAGCAGAAAAACUUGAGAACAGUUUCAUUCCUGAGAGUGACCCGAGUGCCCCAGAAAGAUCCUGUGGCAUUGAUGCGCGCGCUGAGGAUGAGACGUGAUCACUGAGGAUGCGCGUCUUGGCUUGUCUGCCGGGCCGCGAAGUGGAAUGCAAAAGGCUCAGGCAGGGAAGACCGGAAAGCAAAGCAACUGUUCCUGCGUGUGUUUUCCUUCCAACACAGCUAGUUCUGGAGGAUCCUCCCCAUGACGUGUAGAUCCCUCUGUUCUGGUGCCUCAGAGGAACAAAUUUUGGCAGUAUCACCACCAGGCCUUCUGCUUGGUCCCCAUGUGGGUGCAGUUUUGGAGACCCGGGGCUGCAAGCAGCUGCCCCUCCACCAGCAGUCCCACAACAGUCCUGUCAGGUGCACAGGUUCAAAGGGGGUGUGUGUGGAGGGGUGGGG